GCCUGCAUGAAGUCGGAAUUGCUAGUAAUCGCGGAUCAGCAUGCCGCGGUGAAUACGUUCCCGGGCCUUGUACACACCGCCCGUCACACCAUGGGAGCCGGUAAUACCCGAAGUCAGUAGUCCAACCACGUGAGGACGCUGCCGAAGGUAGGAUUGGCGACUGGGGUGAAGUCGUAACAAGGUAAC
rnacentral:rRNA from 1 species